rnacentral:rRNA from 1 species
GAUGAACGCUGACAGAAUGCUUAACACAUGCAAGUCAACCUGAAUUUGGGUUUUUAACUUAGGUUUGGGUGGCGGACGGGUGAGUAACGCGUAAAGAACUUGCCUCACAGCUAGGGACAACAUUUGGAAACGAAUGCUAUUAUCUAAUAUUAUGAUAAUAGGGCCUCCUAUAAUUAUGAAAGCUAUAAGCGCUGUGAGAGAGCUUUGCGUCCCAUUAGCUAGUUGGAGAGGUAACGGCUCACCAAGGCGAUGAUGGGUAGCCGGCCUGAGAGGGUGAUCGGCCACAAGGGGACUGAGACACGGCCCUUACUCCUACGGGAGGCAGCAGUGGGGAAUAUUGGACAAUGGACCGAGAGUCUGAUCCAGCAAUUCUGUGUGCACGAUGAAGUUUUUCGGAAUGUAAAGUGCUUUCAGUUGGGAAGAAACAAAUGACGGUACCAACAGAAGAAGUGACGGCUAAAUACGUG